AGGAAGGAAGGAAGGAAGGAAGGAGGGAGGGAAGGAAGGAGGGAAGGAGGGAGGGAGGGAGGGAAGGAAGGAAGGAAGGAAGGGAGGGAAGGAAAGGAUCUCCGUUUUGCAUUGUACUUGCCUUUCCACACACUUCGCAAGUGAAAACUUUGGGCUUGGCAUUAGGAGAGCCUCGGCUGAAAUCCGAGGUUUUGAACGCGAUUUUUUCCGACAGAAGCUGGGCGCUUUCUUUCAUGUAAUGCUGCAGCUGAGCCUGGGACAGGUCUUUGAAAGCUACUCCAGAAGGGUAUUUCUCCACCGCCGGGACCACCAGUUUAUUCCUUUCGGCUAAAUACGUUUUUGGCUGCGGGUGCAAAGGGGAACUGAGGAAGUAGGAGGCCACCGGGUGGAUGUUCACGCCGGCUGCCGGGUGGCAUGGGCCGUCACCUCGGUUCAGGUAGCACAAGGCGCCCAUGGCGUGGAAUGAAGAGUGGUUGACCACACGCGGCCUUACCAGCUUGUACUGCUGCAGCGGCAGCGCGUCGCGGGCCAGGUCGCCCUUGAGACUCAGUGCGCAGUUGAGCAGGUCGCUGCAGCUGAAUGCGGGAGCCGAGGGCACCGCCGCGGGCGCCGCCGGGGCCUCCAGACUGGCCUUCCGCGGCUCGGAGCCCGUCACUCCUGCCUUGGGGCUCGUGUCGUAGGCCACAGGCACGAAGGGGAUCAUGCAGGGGAUCGACGAGUUGAGAUGCAGAGAGUGCUUGGGUUCCCCCUUGGCAUCACCAGCCGAACCUGCCUGCCCAGCCCAAUGGACUCCUGCCAGCCCAUCGCAGAGUUCUUGGCGCACCAAUGACUCGGGGACAAUCACUACUUAUUUCUAUCAAUAGAAAGUGUUGUGUCAAUAACGCAGCCAAGAUCUCGCCAAUCGUUAACUUCCAAGAGGAGAAGGGCUCGGGGUUGCCCGCUCCCGGAAUCCCGGAGUCUCCGCGGCCCGAACCGAGUCUGGACCAUUUAGAAGACGCCGGCAGCCGAACACCCGCCGGGUGUGGCACCUCGGCCGAAACUCCUGGGGCGGCGCGGUGGAGCGUGUGGAGGUUUCCGGGAAGACGCCUACGGCUGCGGCUCCGACUGUGCGGGCUCCCGCCGCCCAGGCAAGAGCGUCCAGGAGCGCGCUGGAAGCUGCGGCGCGCACCUUCCCCGGCGCAGUCUCUUGCCAGCCGGCGAUCACGCAGAGCUGAACCCCGCAGCUAGGCGCGCAGGAAGGGCUGCACAGAGUUUGAAGACACGGCAGCUGUAAGCUGGCGUGAGGAGGCCAAAGGAGCGCGCAGAGCUGCAAGCAAAGGGCGGUGGGGCCUGGACCCUGAAGUGAGUGGCCGACCGCAGCAGCUCAAGGUGCCAUCUGCCUGGCAAGCUACCCGGGUCCCUCCGCCCCACUCUAACUUUCCGCGAAAAUCAGUUCCGCCUCUGCCCCAAGAGCCAAGAGGGGUGGAAAGGAAGAGAGCUUGGGCUGGGAACGCGCCUGAUGUCUAACAGAAAGGCAGUGGCAGCUGGAGCACCUGGGCAGAGCAAGCGGAGAGGCGCCACAUCCCCGAGAGGCGCUUCGUAGUUGUCCUUGGACCGGGCGCAGACACUCAGUAUUGCAGCGAAAAAUCCCCCUCCUGCUGCACUCCUCCGCCACCGGGCUAGGUUGAAAGGAAAAAGCCAAGAAGCGCGAAGCAGCCCGGCUCUGGAAGGCUUUGGAGAGUCCAGCUGACUUGUACACAAUUCGCGGCCUCUGGAGCCUUACCUGCCUUCUUGACUGAAUGCCACCAGUUCGUUUUACGCUUGUGGCUUUUUGUUGAAGUCCCUAUCAUAAGCAAAUGCAGUUUCUGGCUAUGGUUACUGCAAUUCGAAAUAAAAGGCCUGUGAGGUGUGUCCCUCCAGACUGAGAGGCUAUGACUCAGGGUUGGACUUUAUGGAAAAAAAGAAGUUUAUAAAACAAGUAACCCAGUUUCUCCAACCUUUACUGUGGAGCAACAGCGUCAAGCAACAAAACCCAGCAAAGUUUUGCUUGUCACUUACAAGGGUGUUACUGAAAUCUGGAAGGCGAACAAUUAGAAGAUAGCCCAAACAUGCUCUAUUGCUCUACACUGAAAUACUUGCCUCCAAUAAUAGAAAAAACCUGUUUUCGUGCAAUUGAUUGAUUAGCGUUCUGCAGCAGUCCCUGGACAAUUUUAAAGACAUUUUGUGUUUGUGGCCAAAAUUAGAAACAAGCAGACACACACACAAAACAACCAUAUUCAAGACACGGUUCGACUGUUUCCUUGACACUACCCACGAAGUUUAAAGCAUUUUUUAUGUUAUUUUCAAACUUUCUUAAGUGAUCCCAUGAAAUAAAAGUCGAUAAUAGAAAUUAAAACAACACAGAGCAAAGAACGAGCUUAGUGAAAUGGAGAAGCAGUAGAGGUAAAUAAAAAUCCUCGAGCUAGAAAGCUCUAAGAACCGCUUAUAAAUUCAGUUACCUCCUGAACUCCGGCCGAUGGCCACUCCGGCCCGGGAGUGCCCCGCGCCGACCCGCUGGCCUUGGCCGUCUCAGC
rnacentral:lncRNA from 10 species